UUUUGAUUGUUGCUCAGAAGGCGUGGACUUGACAGGCUUUCGAGCAGCGAUCAAACGC
rnacentral:pre_miRNA from 1 species